rnacentral:rRNA from 2 species
UAGUGCGAUCAUACCAGCACUAAAGCACCGAAUUCC